rnacentral:rRNA from 1 species
AUAUUGGUCAAUGGAGGCAACUCUGAACCAGCCACGUCGCGUGAAGGAUGACGGCCCUACGGGUUGUAAACUUCUUUUAUAAAGGAAUAAAGUGAGUCACGUGAGACUUUUUGCAUGUAAUGUAUGAAUAAGGAUCGGCUAACUCCGUGCCAGCCGCCGCGGUAAUACGGAGGAUCCAAGCGUUAUCCGGAUUUAUUGGGUUUACAGAGUGCGCAGGCGGAAGAUUUAGUAGGCGGUGAAAUUUUGCAGCUCAACUUUAAAAGUGCCAUCGAUACUGGUUUUCUUGAGUGUGGAUGAAGUAGGCGGAAUUUGUGGUGUAGCGGUGAAAUGCAUAGAUAUCGCGAGGAACUCCGAUUGCGCAGGCAGCUUACUAGGCCAUAACUGACGCUCAGGCACGAAGACGUGGGGAUCAAACAGG